UGGGGAAUAUUGGACAAUGGGCGCAAGCCUGAUCCAGCCAUGCCGCGUGUGUGAAGAAGGCCUUUUGGUUGUAAAGCACUUUAAGCGAGGAGGAGGCUACUUGGAUUAAUACUCUAGGAUAGUGGACGUUACUCGCAGAAUAAGCACCGGCUAACUCUGUGCCAGCAGCCGCGGUAAUACAGAGGGUGCGAGCGUUAAUCGGAUUUACUGGGCGUAAAGCGUGCGUAGGCGGCUUUUUAAGUCGGAUGUGAAAUCCCUGAGCUUAACUUAGGAAUUGCAUUCGAUACUGGGAAGCUAGAGUAUGGGAGAGGAUGGUAGAAUGCCAGGUGUAGCGGUGAAAUGCGUAGGGAUCUGGAGGAAUACCGAUGGCGAAGGCAGCCAUCUGGCCUAAUACUGACGCUGAGGUACGAAAGCAUGGGGAGCAAACAGG
rnacentral:rRNA from 1 species